CAUCAAGAGAGGUGGCAUGAAGUCUGUGUCAGGAUUCAAGAUAGUACAGGAAGUCUUGGUAACUCAAGGGGACCACUUCCUGGAUCACCCGUGCGAUAACGAUUGCCUUCAAAGGCAAUGGUGGUGCCUUUGAUCCUCAUGCCAAACUCAACAAUGCUGUGGCCAAUGUCAUUGGAUUUUUGGUGUUUGGAAAGCGCUUCAACAACAGUUCAACUGACUUUCAAAAACGUCUUAACCUCAUUGCAGAAUCUAUUUUACUUGUGCGUACACCCCUUGCUCAGCUUUACGAUAUUUGUCCAUGGCUCAUGAGGAGGUGACCAGGACCUCGUGAGACAACUACUACUCUAAGCUUGCUGCCUUUCUGAGAAAACAAUACACCAGAAAGUCAAGGAUCCCUUUCUGCACAGAGACUUCAUUGACUCCUACAUAGGGGAGAUAGAUAAGAGAAAGAAAGACUCAAGAGUUGAAACCUUGAUGUACUGCAGCCUGGACAUGUUUGAGGCUGGCACUGAAACUGUUGCCAGUACACGUGGGCGGUGGGCUCUACUCCUCAUGAUGAAGGAUCCAGAAGUGCAGAG
ensembl:lncRNA